GACGAACGCUGGCGGCGUGCCUAAUACAUGCAAGUAGGACGCAGUUGCGAACGGGUGAGUAACGCGUAGGUAACCUACAUAUUAGAGGGGGGUAACUAUUGGAAACGAUAGCUAAUACCGCAUACUAGUAGAUGGACCUGCGUUGUAUUAGCUAGUAGGUAGGGUAAUGGCCUACCUAGGCAACGAUACAUAGCCGACCUGAGAGGUGGAUCGGCCACACUGGGACUGAGACACGGUCCAGACUCCUACGGGAGGCAUCAGUGGGGAAUAUUGCACAAUGGGCGCAAGCCUGAUGCAGCCAUGCCGCGUGUGUGAAGAAGGCCUUCGGGUUGUAAAGCACUUGCAGCGGGGAGGCGUUACCCGCAGAAGAAGCACCGGCUAACUCCGUGCCAGCAGCCGCGGUAAUAC
rnacentral:rRNA from 1 species